CCUACGGGAGGCAGCAGUGAGGAAUAUUGGUCAAUUGACGCAAGCCUGAACCAGCCAUGCCGCGUGCAGGAAGACGGCUCUAUGAGUUGUAAACUGCUUUUGUACGGGGGUAAACGCAGAUACGUGUAUCUGUCUGAAAGUAUCGUACGAAUAAGGAUCGGCUAACUCCGUGCCAGCAGCCGCGGUAAUACGGAGGAUUCAAGCGUUAUCCGGAUUUAUUGGGUUUAAAGGGCGCGUAGGCGGUCGGAUAAGUUAGAGGUGAAAUCCCGAGGCUCAACUUCGGAAUUGCGUCUGAUACUGUUCGGCUAGAGAGUAGUUGGGGUAGGCGGAAUGUAUGGUGUAGCGGGGAAAUGCUUAGAGAUCAUACAGAACACCGAUUGCGAAGGCAGCUUACCAAGCUACUUUUGACGUUGAGGCACGAAAGCGUGGGGAGCAACAGGAUUAGAUACCCCAGUAGUC
rnacentral:rRNA from 1 species